rnacentral:rRNA from 1 species
GCUACNGAAGAUCUCAACAUUUAGGCUUCCAUCAAUGGAUGUUGUGGAUCCUGGAAGCUAAGCAGGGGUGAGCCUGAUUAGCAAACAGAUGGGAGACCACCUGGGAAUAUCAGCUGUAGUAGGU